UUGACCUCAAAUCAGGUAGGACUACCCGCUGAACUUAAGCAUAUCAAUAAGCGGAGGAAAAGAAACUAACAAGGAUUCCCCUAGUAACUGCGAGUGAAGCGGGAAAAGCUCAAAUUUAAAAUCUGGCGGUCUCUGGCCGUCCGAGUUGUAAUCUAGAGAAGUGAUGCCCGCG
rnacentral:rRNA from 1 species